AAUAUCCCACAUUGGUUUGGGAUAUGCGUAAUGUGUCCUUUUGCUUUGGGCACUCCUCCUCUUUGAGCUAGCUUUUAGGGAAGAGUUAGGUCCGGCCCAUUUUUUUUAAAGUUUAUAUCAAGUGUUAUACCAUUGUUUGGUAGAACAUAAAAAAUGAUGUAACAUAUCUAUGAUUAUAUUACAAUUCUUUUUUGCUUUUGGGGUUACUAGGAGAAUAUCUAGGGUAAUAUAAUGCCCAUUGUUUUAUUAUUACUUUAGCUAAUGCAAUGCUCAUUUCAAUUCCAUACAAAGCCUUGUGUAAUAGUUCACUCACUUUAACUUUUUUUUUUACUUACGCUCCCAUCAUCUUGCUGCUUACCCCCACCACUUUGCUGUCACUGCCACCUCUUUACCAACACUACCAGAUAAACUCAACAUGACUUCAAUUUUAUUUUCAAAAUGGAUUGGCCUUUACUUUUCAUAAUGUUCCUCAUUCUGUUAAUUUCUUAUUACCAUAGCCUAUGUUCAUCAACUCAGUUGGAUAUAAGUAGACUCCUGUCUUACCUGGGUCCCAAGGAGCACUGCAAUGUAGAAGUUGCAAACAUGCUUAUUUUGAACUCAUUUUAGUAGAUUUGUACUAUCUUUCAAAAUGUGUGUUGGAUUGCAAGAGUAAGUAUUCAUUAAAUGCUUGGUAAAAACUAAUAGUUUCCUGCGGUGCCAAAAUGGUUAUAGAAGUAAGAAUGCAGUUUAUGUAUUUAAGUACUGAUUCUUUAUUUCCUGGAUCGCA
rnacentral:misc_RNA from 1 species